rnacentral:rRNA from 1 species
UACGUAGGGUCCGAGCGUUGUCCGGAAUUAUUGGGCGUAAAGAGCGUGUAGGCGGUCCGGUAAGUCGGCUGUGAAAGUCCAGGGCUCAACCCUGGGAUGCCGUCGAUACUGCCGGACUAGAGUUCGGAAGAGGCGAGUGGAAUUCCUGGUGUAGCGGUGGAAUGCGCAGAUAUCAGGAGGAACACCGGUGGCGAAGGCGGGUCUCUGGGCCGAUAUCGACGCUGAGGAGCGAAAGCGUGGGGAGCGAACAGG